UACGUAGGGGGCAAGCGUUGUCCGGAUUUAUUGGGCGUAAAGAGCGUGUAGGCGGUUCGGUAGGUCCGUUGUGAAAACUCGAGGCUCAACCUCGAGACGCCGAUGGAAACCCCCGAACUAGAGUCCGGAAGAGGAGAGUGGAAUUCCUGGUGUAGCGGUGAAAUGCGCAGAUAUCAGGAGGAACACCCGUGGCGAAAGCGGCUCUCUGGGACGGUACUGACGCUGAGACGCGAAAGCGUGGGGAGCAAACAGG
rnacentral:rRNA from 1 species